rnacentral:lncRNA from 1 species
AUGGGUGUUGAGCUUGAACGCUUUCUUAAUUGGUGGCUGCUUUUAGGCCUACUAUGGGUAUUAAAUUUUUUACUCUCUUUACAAGGUUUUUUCCUAGUGUCCAAAGAGCUGUUCCUCUUUGGACUAACAGUUAAAUUUACAAGGGGAUUUAGAAGGUUCUGUAGGUAAAUUUAAACUGUUCUUAGGUAGCUCGUCUGGUUUCGGGGGCCUUAGCUUUGGUUCUCUUUGCAAAGUUAUUUCUAGUUAAUUCAUUAUGCAAAAGGUACAGGGGUUAGUCCUUGCUGUAUUAUGCUUGGUUAUAAUUUUUCAUCUUUCCCUUGCGGUACUAUAUCUAUUGCGCCGGUUUACAAUUUCUAUCGCCUAUACUUUAUUUGGGUAAAUGGUUUGGUUAAG